rnacentral:misc_RNA from 1 species
AUUUAGAGGAAGGAGAAGUCGUAACAAGGUUUCCGUAGGUGAACCUGCGGAAGGAUCAUUGUCGAUGCCUAAACACCGAACGACCCGCGAACGCGUUUACAAACCUUCCGUGCCGGGGGGACGCACGCGCAGUCGUGCUUGCUUGCUUGCUUGCCUGCCUGCCUCUCCCCUCGGUGCUAAACCAAACCCCGGCGCAGGUCGCGCCAAGGAACUCGAACGAAUUCGCCCUGCCCCGCGCCCCGGUCUCGGCGUGCGUGGGGCGGAGCAUUCCUGUCGUAUUACUCACAACGACUCUCGGCAACGGAUAUCUCGGCUCUCGCAUCGAUGAAGAACGUAGCGAAAUGCGAUACUUGGUGUGAAUUGCAGGAUCCCGCGAACCACCGAGUCUUUGAACGCAAGUUGCGCCCGGAGCCUUCUGGCCGAGGGCACGUCUGCCUGGGCGUCACGCAUCGCUGACGCAACCCCCUCCUCGGGACCGUUGCGCAGGCGCGGGCACACGCUGGCCUCCCGUGCGCACCGUCGCGCGGAUGGCUUAAAUUCGAGUCCUCGGCGCUCGUCGUCGCGACACUACGGUGGUUGAUCCGACCCCGGUACCGCGUCGCGACCUCGGCACCUCCUCCUCGCGAGUGAGCGAGGACUCCGAUGCCGACCCUCCGAACGUCGUCCGAAAAGAAAGAAAGACGAUGCUCUCGACGCGACCCCAGGUGGCGGGACUACCCGCU